CAACGCGAAGAACCUUUCCUGGGUUUGACAUACACCAGAAAGCGGCAGAGAUGUCGCCCCCCUUGUGGUUGGUGUACAGGUGGUGCAUGGCUGUCGUCAGCUCGUGUCGUGAGAUGUUGGGUUAAGUCCCGCAACGAGCGCAACCCUUAUCUUAUGUUGCCAGCGCGUUAUGGCGGGGACUCGUGAGAGACUGCCGGGGUCAACUCGGAGGAAGGUGGGGACGACGUCAAGUCAUCAUGCCCCUUAUGUCCAGGGCUUCACACAUGCUACAAUGGCCGGUACAGAGGGCUGCGAUACCGUGAGGUGGAGCGAAUCCCUUAAAGCCGGUCUCAGUUCGGAUCGGGGUCUGCAACUCGACCCCGUGAAGUUGGAGUCGCUAGUAAUCGCAGAUCAGCAACGCUGCGGUGAAUACGUUCCCGGGCCUUGUACACACCGCCCGUCACGUCAUGAAAGUCGGUAACACCCGAAGCCGGUGGCCUAACCCUUGUGGAGGGAGCCGUUGAAGGUGGGAUUGGCGUU
rnacentral:rRNA from 1 species